rnacentral:rRNA from 1 species
CGGGGAAUUUUGGACAAUGGGCGCAAGCCUGAUCCAGCCAUUCCGCGUGCAGGAUGAAGGCCCUCGGGUUGUAAACUGCUUUUGUACGGAACGAAACGGUCCGAGCUAAUACCUCGGGCUAAUGACGGUACCGUAAGAAUAAGCACCGGCUAACUACGUGCCAGCAGCCGCGGUAAUACGUAGGGUGCAAGCGUUAAUCGGAAUUACUGGGCGUAAAGCGUGCGCAGGCGGUUAUGUAAGACAGGUGUGAAAUCCCCGGGCUUAACCUGGGAACUGCAUUUGUGACUGCCAGACUAGAGUGUAGCAGAGGGGGUAGAAUUCCACGUGUAGCAGUGAAAUGCGUAGAUAUGUGGAGGAAUACCGAUGGCGAAGGCAGCCCCCUGGGCUAACACUGACGCUCAUGCACGAAAGCGUGGGGAGCAAACAGGAUUAGAUACCCUGGUAGUCCCUGAGCGGGCUGGCAAGGCGC